UUUAAUUGAAGAGUUUGAUCAUGGCUCAGAUUGAACGCUGGCGGCAGGCCUAACACAUGCAAGUCGAGCGGUAACAGAGAGUAGCUUGCUACUUUGCUGACGAGCGGCGGACGGGUGAGUAAUGCUUGGGAAU
rnacentral:rRNA from 1 species